rnacentral:ncRNA from 1 species
CUUAAAUUUAUUUGUUUAAACAUUAAUUUAUAUGUAAAUUUUUGUAUUUAUAAAAUUUCUUAAGGUUAAUUGUAAUUAAAGUUUUGCAGUAAAUUAUUUUAUUGAUAUUAAAUUAGUUUAGAUUUGGUAAAUGUUAAUUUAGGUUUGGUAAAAAUUGUGCCAGCAUCCGCGGUUAUACAAUAAAAUCGAAUAAAUAUUAUUGGCUUUUAAAUAAUUAAUAUAAAAAAUGAUUUAUAUAGGAAUUAAAAUAUUUUAGAGUGAAAUAUUAAAUGUUUUGAAGUAUAAAUAUUUAUGUAUGAAUUAUUGUGAAAUUGAAAAUGUAAACUAGGAUUAGAUACCCUAUUAUUUUUAUAGUAAAUAUAUAAGCUAGAGUACUAGUAGUUAAGAUCUUAAAACUUAAAGAAUUUGGCGGUAUUAUAGUCUACUUAGAGGAAUUUGUUAUGUAAUCGAUAAUCCACGUUGAACCUUACUUAUAUUAAGUUCUUGUAUAUCGCUGUUUAAGAAUAUAUUUUAAGAUUAUUUUCUGGAUAUGUAAUUUAAUAAAAUUUCAAGUCAAGGUGCAGUUAUUUAUAAGUUUAAUAAUGGAUUACAAUAAAUUGUAUUUAUAUGAAUUAUUAUUGCAAAUUAAUUUGAAGGUGGAUUUAAUAGUAAUUUUAUAAAGAUUAUUAAAAUGAUUUUUUAGCCCUAUAAUAUGUACACAUCGCCCGUCAUUCUCGUUAAUAAGAUGAGACAAGUCGUAACAAAGUAGGUUUACUGGAAAGUGUACCUAGAACUAGGAAAA